rnacentral:lncRNA from 1 species
AGGGAAGAAAAAUAACCACCCAGUUUCCCUUCCUAGUCUUAGUUCAAUUCAUAGAGUGUUGUGUUUAUCCCCAAAGGGUCUUGUAGUCUUCACUGCAAACAUUUGAUUCUGAUCUACUCACAUACAAGGAAAUGUAGAUUGCCAAGACCAAAACUAGAGGGGUGGGCUUCCCAUCAGGGUUUUCCUGUGUGGAGAUGACAGGGGAAACAGGGAGGAAAUCCUAAUUAUGGCUUGUCCUCUUCCCUGAAUUGCUGUCUACGACAGUGUAGUUCCAAUGUAAACAAGGUGGGUUGGGGAUGGUUUGUAUAGGGCAGGAGGCCCACCCAGAAGUCCUACCCAGGGAAGAGAGGGCCCAGAAUCUAGUUGCAGCAUUUGCCCAGUAACCCUACCCCGGCCUUUCUUUGUGUGUUAGGAAGCUGGAAAUGCAGGCUGGUCUCCCUUUCUUGCCUUUGUCACUAACCCCGAGCUGUCAGCCAUUUGGAAUCAGAACUGCUUUCCAGUGUUCUAAGUCCUUAUUUGAUUACAAAUAUUUGGUGAAUCAAAGUAAGGCACUUUGGUCCUAAUUUUUGACCUUUGGUCCUAAUUUUUGUUUGUAAGAUGUGGAGAAUAACCCUGACCUUACCAGGGGUCCUGGGAAUGUGAAUCCAUUCGUCAAGUGGUUCCACAUCUAGAAGAAUUUUGCCUAUGCCAUGUCAGGCAUCAUUCAACACAAGGCCAACUAUCUGCUGCCAGUCUGGCAUAAGAUCAGAUUGAAACUGCUAAGUAAUGGUACAUCCAAAUAAACAAAGUUCUUCCAAGAGAGUAAACCCAAGUCCAUCUUAUACACGUAUUUGUUCUGGGUUGGUGGGGACGACAGUUCAGCCGAGUCCGAUGUUCUAGAGCAGAGGUUCUCAACCCUGGCUGUGAAUUAGGAUCAUCUGGCCAGUUUUUGUUUUUAAAUCAGUGCAAGGGCCCUCCCCUCAGAGAUUCAGAUUCAGUAGCUUCAGGUGGGACCUGGAAUCCAUGCUUUGUUUGGAACCUCAGGAGUGUUCUUGAUGUGCAGCCAGGAUUGACAAGAGCCUUUAGUCUAGAGCUCGCAGCAGACCUCUAGACUAUUUGGAAUCUGAUUUUAAAGAAUGGCCCAGCAGAUGAAGGUGUUUUUUUAAAUUGUUAGUCAUGUGAAACGAACUGAGUAUUGAUCAGUAAUACAGACAGGGCAGCUGUGAGAGAGUUUGAUGCUAAUCUUUGCAGAACUCAAGAACAUACUCCAUAAAGUACAGCUGAAAAGAUCACGAAAACCUUGGAGCCUUCGAGGAAAGAGAAGGGUGACUUGGGGGUAUACUAUAGUCGUGGCCCAUAUGGAACACACAGGCAGCCGGUUUUCUGCUACCUGAGCCUUGGAGAAGAUGAGAAGGAAGGGCUGCCUGCUGUGCUGCCCUUUGAAAAGGUCCAAAGCAGACAGGAGCGCACACAGCAGAAGUCACCUUCUCCUUCUGAUGACCACCUUUCAAAAGGCUUAACAGAAUCACCAAGUGUCACAGUCAGCUCUUGGCCAGUGGAAAAUUGUCUGGGCCUGUAUAUGUUGGAGGAACUCAGAUAGAAAAGGACUUGUAAACAGCAUGGAAACCUCAACAUCUGCUGUCUCAAGCACUUAAAAAAGGCUACAAUUCAGGUGUUACUGGAUGACUUAACUGCAUGGACAUUUAGGGGCUGACUUGUGUUGUGAUUAUUCCAAUUGUGGGCUUUGGAGAAGCAGAGGGAUGAUUUUCAGUUGUGUGGGUGUUAAGUCUAUGGAUUGGGAAUUUACCACUGAAAUUGAUCGUUCAAAGUGUGACUUCAUAGUAGGGCCAGCUCCUCCUAAGUUGUCCUUUUGUUUUUCACAUAAAAUACAUCUGGUACUUUUUACUUGGAAAGUUGUACUAUGUCCAUGAAAAUGGUUAAAUGAGAAGGCCAUAAAGAUUCAUUUAAUAGCUGAAAAGCAACUUUUAAAAUAGAAUAGGACGAAUUUAACAUGGAAUGAUGUGACCUUCUAGGGAACUUUUUAUAGAGAGCUUACAUAGUGUAAUUGGGGAGAAUUUUGUCUUCUAUUUCCAUUCAACAGUAGCAAA